GUGCCAGCCGCCGCGGUAAGACGGAGGAGGCUAGCGUUGUUCGGAAUUACUGGGCGUAAAGCGCGCGCGGGCGGUUUUGCAAGUCAGGGGUGAAAGCCCGGGGCUCAACCUCGGAACGGCCUUUGAGACUGCAGAACUAGAGACCGGAAGAGGAGAGUGGAAUUCCCAGUGUAGAGGUGAAAUUCGUAGAUAUUGGGAAGAACACCAGUGGCGAAGGCGGCUCUCUGGUCCGGUACUGACGCUGAGGCGCGAAAGCGUGGGGAGCAAACAGGAUUAGAAACCCCCGUAGUCC
rnacentral:rRNA from 1 species